rnacentral:rRNA from 1 species
CCUACGGGAGGCAGCAGUGAGGAAUAUUGGUCAAUGGGCGCGAGCCUGAACCAGCCAAGUCGCGUGAGGGAGGACGGCCCUACGGGUUGUAAACCUCUUUUGCCGUGGAGCAACGGGCGUCACGUGUGGCGCCACUGAGAGUACCCGGAGAAAAAGCAUCGGCUAACUCCGUGCCCGCAGCCGCGGUAAUACGGAGGAUGCGAGCGUUAUCCGGAUUUAGUGGGUUUAAAGGGUGCGUAGGCGGACCGAUAAGUCAGUGGUCAAAUUGAGGGGCUCAACCCCUUCCCGCCAUUGAAACUGGCGCUCUUGAGUGGAAGAGAAGUAUGCGGAAUGCGGGGUGUAGCGGUGAAAUGCAUAGAUAUCACGCAGAACCCCGAUUGCGAAGGCAGCAUGCCGGCUUCCGACUGACGCUGAAGCACGAAAGCGUGGGGAUCGAACAGGAUUAGAUACCCUAGUAGUC